rnacentral:misc_RNA from 1 species
UCUCCGUUGGUGAACCAGCGGAGGGAUCAUUACUGCAUCGCAAGAUCCCACAACCCCGUGAACCUACCGAAACGUUGCCUCGGCGGGUGCCCGGCCUCUGCGCCGGGCGCUGCGCCCGCCGGCGGCCCCCUACUCUGUCUCUGCAGCGUGGCAUCUCAGAGUCCCAGAAAACAAGUCAAAACUUUCAACAACGGAUCUCUUGGCUCUA